UGGUAGCUCUCACUUGUUUCAAACUGGACGGGACCAACAAUUCAUCAAGUUUUGUCCCAGUCGGACCGCAUAAUCCUCAGCGACACCAAAAAUGACGAGCUUCCCGAUUCCUCCGUAUUCCGUCGUGAACCGGAGACUAUUCGUCAAACUGCCGAAACCUAAUCCACCUAAUUCAUACAGUAAGAAGAACCGAGCAUUCGAGAUUUCAUGCGGCCACUCCUAUUUCGAAGCUAGGGAUAUUAAAUACAGACCUCCAGGGACUCAGAUAAACCUUUUAAAUGAUGUUAGUUUUACUCUUCCAGAGAAAAGUUUUGGUUUAAUUUUUGGACGAAGUGGAAGCGGGAAGACUACCCUUUUGCAGCUUAUAGCAGGGCUAACUAAACCAACGUCAGGCUCUAUUUAUGUUCAAAGAUACAGUGAUGAUGGCAGCCCAACCCAGCCACCUGUGCCAUUAUCUUCAGAGAGAGUUGGUAUCGUUUUUCAGUUUCCUGAACGGUACUUUGUGGCAGAUAAUGUUUUUGAUGAAAUUACAUUUGGGCUGCCUAGACAGAAAAGUGACCUUAAAGUUAAAGAACUUAUUGCUCGACGACUUGAAAGAGCUAUCACUUCGGUUGGUCUAAAUGGGAUUCCAUUGGAUAAAAAUCCAAACUCCCUAAGUGGUGGCUACAAACGUCGUCUUGCUCUUGCUGUUCAGCUGGUUCAAAGUCCAGAAUUACUGGUACUUGAUGAGCCUCUAGCUGGUCUCGAUUGGAAAGCACGUGCGGAUGUUGUUAAGCUGCUCAAGAAUUUAAAGAAGGAAUUGACUAUACUUGUUGUAAGCCAUGACCUUAAAGAGUUAACACCUCUGGUUGACAAAUCAUGGAGGAUGGAUGUGGGUGGACUACUGUCGGAAAAGCCCUUACCGGCAUAAUCUUCUGAUUUUAUUACUCUUGACAUAUGACUUUCACGUCUUCUAGAGCUGUUUCUGGAUGGAUUUUUCUUGACUUCCGGAAGACCUAAAAAAGGAACGACGUGCCAACCACUGUGACACCGGGCGCUGUGACCAAGGUCGACUACUCGUCCUCCGCCAACCCCGUGGCUCUCCCAGAUGUGCGGAAACCCGACCUCCACCCGCCCGAAGGCACGCCGGUGGAAUAAUCGGUAAAACCUCGCCUCCCAUCCAAGACGAACCGGCGCCACCCGUAUUCGCCCUUCACCUGGUUGCCGCAGAAAAUAAUGUGAUGAACAGUCUCUAUCUUUACAAACAAUUGUCUCUCUACUGUCACGGCCCAAGAAUGUGAACUUGCUGAAUAUGCCAUUAGUAGAUAUAUACCAGAAUAGGCUAUCCUUUGAACAAAACAAUUGAAGAAUGUUGCUAAAGUCCCAUGAAAACUGAAACAUCACAUAGUUUAAGGAAAGUUCAUACUGAAUGCACAGCAGCCAGACUAUGUUUUCCUGAUCAAACAAAGUGUGAACGGAGAUCUAUAUUAUUGGUGAUUAGACUUAAUAUCUGGGUAAUUGGCCUACAGAUUGUAUGAUUGAUCACUUUUGUGAUUAGUCCAUAAAGCAAGGUUGGUUAGUGUGAUGAGGUGGCAGUGGUCAUUGAUAAAGGUAAAUAUCUGGCAACUAAAGCAGUGAUUGUAGCAGGUAGUACAGUUGGUUUGUGGUCAAAUUAUCAUGUGUAUUCUUUUC